rnacentral:lncRNA from 1 species
CAAAGGUAGUUUUACACCUGCGUGGCAUUGCUGGACAUGUCAAAUAUAGUUGCGAGAGACAGCAAAGUUGUGCAGCACACGCAGGCUAAUUUUAACUGAAAGUGUCCUGACUUUCCUUUUGAAGACGCUGACACAGCUUCUGACACCAUCGGUGAUGAGUGGUGUAGAACAGCCGGUUCAGGUCUGAGGCUAUCAAGUACUGAAAGGGAAUCUCCUGCAUCCAAAUCCCAGGAUACCAGAGCAGCCCUUUGCAGGCCACACGUUCCUGAGGUUACACAUAGUGGAAAGACAGUCGUAAGGCCAACAUGUCGGAGGCUGACUAAAGGAGGUAAGGAGAGUUUUUUGUUACUUGAUGGAUACACAAUUUCGAUUUGGGAUGAACCAUAGGUUCCCAGUAUGAAUGGUGGUUAUGAGUUGAACAAUAAUGUGUAUGCUCUUAAUGACGUUGAGAUGUACAUUAAAGCAAAAUUCGGUAGAAGAAGGGUUUAAAAAGCUGAGCUGAUAUGGGCUGGAGAGGUAGAUGGCUCAGUCAUUAAGAAUGUGUACUACUCUUGUAGAGGACCUGGGUUGGGGUCCCACUGCCUACUGCAGGCAGUUAGCACCUGCCUGGUCACUCCAGAUUGGGG